rnacentral:sRNA from 1 species
CUGAAAUAUGAUGAGCACGAGUCUGUCUGGCACUC